GCAAACAUUAGUGGAAGCCUUUGAACUGUGUAGUUGUUGUUGGGGGAGAGGAGGACAUGAUCCUGAACCGCAAAAUGUCUCACAUCAGAAGCAACUUUAUAGAGGCUCAUGCACAGGGGUCCCAGGCAAUACAUAAGCCUGUAAGCCACCAUGACGAGACAUUAUGGUUCAUCUGUCCUGGGAAGGUGACCUUUUGAGAACUACUGGUCUACAAACCGCAAACCACAAGGUCGGGAGGAGAAUUGGGAAAGGAAACCAUAAGGAAAUGGGAGCAGGAAAUCAUAACAGUUACAGAACACGUCGCAUUCAGGAGAGUAUAUUUCCCUUUGUGGUCCAAAGGCUUAUGGCAGAUAGGCACCAAGCAAAGGGCUGCAAGGAAGAAAGAAGAAAGGUAGAAAGGAAGAUGGUGGCCCCCAGGGGUCCCAUCCAGUGUGGGGUUGUGAGUAUAAACAGGAAACCAAAGAAGCUCUCCUAUCAACAAAACAUUGAAAACAGCCAUCAAUUUGAAAUGGUUAGUAUAGAUAUAUAUAAAACCUGUUUCUUUGAAUUAAGAUGAUAAUAUUAAGGAAUAAAUAUUUCUCCAUCUGAAGUCCUUUCUAGGCU
rnacentral:lncRNA from 1 species